GUGGGGAAUAUUGCACAAUGGGGGAAACCCUGAUGCAGCGACGCCGCGUGAGUGAAGAAGUAUUUCGGUAUGUAAAGCUCUAUCAGCAGGGAAGAAGAUGACGGUACCUGAGUAAGAAGCACCGGCUAAAUACGUGCCAGCAGCCGCGGUAAUACGUAUGGUGCAAGCGUUAUCCGGAUUUACUGGGUGUAAAGGGAGCGUAGGUGGCAUGGCAAGCCAGAAGUGAAAGCCCGGGGCUUAACCGCGGGACUGCUUUUGGAACUGUUGUGCUGGAGUGCAGGAGGGGUAAGCGGAAUUCCUGGUGUAGCGGUGAAAUGCGUAGAUAUCAGGAGGAACACCGGUGGCGAAGGCGGCUUACUGGACUGUAACUGACACUGAGGCUCGAAAGCGUGGGGAGCAAACAGGAUUAGAAACCCUAGUAGUCC
rnacentral:rRNA from 1 species